rnacentral:rRNA from 1 species
GACGAACGCUGGCGGCGUGCCUAAUACAUGCAAGUCGAGCGGACUUUCAAGAAGCUUGCUUUUUGAAGGUUAGCGGCGGACGGGUGAGUAACGCGUGGGCAACCUGCCUGUAAGACGGGGAUAACUCCGGGAAACCGGGGCUAAUACCGGAUAAUAUCUUUCUUCGCAUGAAGGAAGGUUGAAAGGCGGCGCAAGCUGCCGCUUGCAGAUGGGCCCGCGGCGCAGUUAGCUAGUUGGUGAGGUAACGGCUCACCAAGGCGACGAUGCGUAGCCGACCUGAGAGGGUGAUCGGCCACACUGGGACUGGGACACGGCCCAGACUCCUACGGGAGGCAGCAGUAGGGAAUCUUCCGCAAUGGACGAAAGUCUGACGGAGCAACGCCGCGUGAGCGAAGAAGGUCUUCGGAUCGUAAAGCUCUGUUGUCAGGGAAGAACAAGUACCGUUCGAAUAGGGCGGUACCUUGACGGUACCUGACCAGAAAGCCACGGCUAACUACGUGCCAGCCGCCGCCGUAA